CCUACGGGAGGCAGCAGUAAGGAAUAUUGGUCAAUGGAGGCAACUCUGAACCAGCCAUGCCGCGUGCAGGAUGAAGGCCCUAUGGGUCGUAAACUGCUUUUACACAAGAGAAAACCCGAGUACGUGUACUCGGUUGAUAGUAUUGUGAGAAUAAGCAUCGGCUAACUUCGUGCCAGCAGCCGCGGUAAGACGAAGGAUGCAAGCGUUAUCCGGAUUCAUUGGGUUUAAAGGGUGCGUAGGCGGACCUGUAAGUCAGUGGUGAAAUCUCUUUGCUUAACAAAGAAACUGCCAUUGAUACUGCAAGUCUAGAGUAUAGAUGACGUUGGCGGAAUAUGACAUGUAGUGGUGAAAUACUUAGAUAUGUCAUAGAACACCGAUUGCGAAGGCAGCUAACGAAACUAUAACUGACGCUGAGGCACGAAAGUGCGGGGAUCAAACAGGAUUAGAUACCCUGGUAGUCCGCACCGUAAACGAUGAUUACUCGUUGUUGGCAAUAUGACCGUCAGCGACCAAGCGAAAGCGAUAAGUAAUCCACCUGGGGAGUACGCCGGCAACGGUGAAACUCAAAGGAAUUGACGG
rnacentral:rRNA from 1 species